GGAUGCGAUCAUACCAGCACUAACACAUCGAAUCCCGUCAGAACUCCGAAGUUAAGCAUGCUUGGGCGAGAGAGUAGUACUAGGAUGGGUGACCGCCUGGGAAGUCCUCGAAUUGCAUCCC